rnacentral:SRP_RNA from 1 species
CUUCAGGCUCCGCACAAGGUUUGAGUUGUGAACUCCGCUAGGCGAGGAAUCGAGCAACGGUAGCAAUUUCAGCCUGUGUUGCGGUUAAGCCUGAAGCCG